CUUUUCUUAUCAGAUGUUUGCUCUGUGUAAAAUAUUGUUUAAUUGUGAAUUUUGAAAUAUUUGUCAACUGAUUAAUUGCUCUUUUUCAUAAGCUGUGAAUUUAAUUUUGCAGAGGUAAAGAUUUCCCAUACUUAAGCUUUGGCCUUUGUGUUGCCCAUUCAUUCCUGCCCAGAAUGGAUGUAGUAUCAAAAACGGCAAACAGGAAUUCUUGCUCAAACUGGUUUGUGGAGCUGGUUAUGUACCUUCCUCUUCUCUGUUUUUGAAAGGACAAGAAGCCUGUAAAAAUAGUACAGUUGAGCAGCUACAUAGUAGAUUUUAUUAUUCAGUCUUUUAAAGUGGAGAAUCUGACAGAUAUUAAAAGAGAAAAAGCUGAAGUCAUAAUGGCCACUUUUAGCAUCGUUUAGCUGUCCUGUUUGCCAUGAUCUUUACAUCUGCAAGUAAUUAAUACAUAACUUUCCAGGUUUCCAGCUGUGGCCUCUAGUUUUUCUGUUGUAAAAAGAUAUUUAUUUACAGCUUAGUACUCAGAUAUAGAAAAGAUUAAAAUCUUCUUAAAGAUGAAAAAAAUGUGUUUCGUUUUUGUAGAUUUGUGGAUCUGUUACUCAGUAUUGAAUAAUAUGUUGUCUACUCUUUUGCUGUGCUUUCCUUGAAAGUGUAAAAUGUACUUUGAUAUCGUCCGAUUCCUGCCAGAAUGCUUAAUGCCAGGAGUGCUUCUAACAGGUUUUGCUGUAUUUUGCUGGAAGUUCAGGAUCUCCCAGAGAUAAAUAGCCCCAUGUGGUGAAAGCCUCUAAGCAUGAGAAGGGCGUAUGGGAAGAAGCAUCAAGUGCUGAUUGCAGAACUGAGAAAAUAUCUUCAGUGAAGUGAUGAAACUCCUUCAAGUUGGCCAUGAUGCUGUUGAAAAUCGUAACACCAGAAAGUUUUAUCAAUGAAAUGUGAAAAUCUGCUUGAGCAGCACAGAUGCACUGAGUCCUUUACCACUCCUGCUGGUAGGAAGUGAGCCUGUGAAAUCCAUCCACGCCUUCUGCACCCCAGGGACUGGGGACUUUUGCAGGGCUGAAGAGAAAAACUGUUAGAACCAGCCUGAGAGCAAUGCCUAUCUAUGCAAACACUCCUCCCUAAGAAACAACAAACUAUUCAAAAGAUGGACGAUUAAACCUCCAUGUAGUACAACAGAGUGCAUUUAACUGCAUUGUGGCAGUGUCUGGUAAUGUUUAUAUAGACAAAAAAUAAAAAUUUAUGUUUCUGUUCUCAGAAUUUCUGUCUUUCCCAAGCUUUAGUAACAGUUACUUCUGUUUUAGAGUUCAGACUUCCUCUGUGCUUUGUUGGGAUACCAGUGCACCCCUUUAAAUGAAAUAAAGCCUAAGAGCUGCUGA